UGCUUAUAUCAGUAAAAAUGGCUUUGCACUGCAGCCUUCCAGAAAAUUUUGCCUCUUAGAAGUCCUGUUACCAGAAGGCCUCCAGAGGCACCAACACAGACAGAAAUAGCUCCUUAACAUCUUUGUUCCAGAAGAGAAGAAUAAAUAAUGGAGCUUGUAAUCCACAGAGCUCUCUAGUAUGGAGUUACAUGGGAAAAGAUGGUCCAAUCCCAACAGAUGCUUACUGCAGAACUGCGUGGUGUAUUUAGAAUAUUCUACCUCAGAGGUUUCCCAUUUCUUCAACUGAGAGAAAGAGGAUUACAGUUUGAAGACAGAACUCCCAUUAUAAAAUAAACUGUGAAACAAUGCAGAAUUUAAAAGAAUGUAACUGCAGGUAUGUACUUGUGUGCACGUGCACAUGUACACGCAUAUUCAUAUGUGCACAUGUU
rnacentral:lncRNA from 1 species